UGUCGACAACUCAGUGCUGCCCUGCUACUGACUUUUUCUUUUCUUGUUUCUUUCUCUUCUUCUUUUCCUUAAAUGUAGGCAACCUUCCUUAUAAUGAAUGUCUCUGUGCCCAGUCAUCCCUUCGUUGCAGCAUCAGGAAAAAAACAGAUAGAUGUUACCAUUUGCCUAGGUGGCUGAGAAGCAAUUUCAAGCAACGAGGAAGUUCUGGCCCGGUAGCGUUCAUCACUUCGUUUCUAGUAGAGAAAUUAGUCAUGAUCAAAUUCAAAAGACUGCAGUUGGCAUAGAAACAUUCAACAGAUGAUCAGUACAAGAGUCCCUAAAAACCUUUGUCAUACCUGGAAAAGAAUGAGGGCGUUGCCAUAGGAUAGUGGUGCAGCAUCUCACUCAAUACAGUGUGCCCUGAGGAUUUACAGUUAAUUCCUGA